CCCUCAUUCCCUAUGAUUCCAGCCCUAAGGUCAGGACCCACUGGGACCUAACUGGCACAUACCCAGUGCUGAGCCAAUCACUGUGGCCAGGGAGGAUGGCCAGAUUGAGGUCCUGUGACCACCCUCCCUAAGGAAACUCCUGAGCUGUUCAACCUGUUUUCCUGUGUGGGAGUGAACCUGAGAGAACAGAGGAAAGACGUCAAACUCAUAAGCACGGUGUGGAACUGGAUUACCACUCCCCCCCAUUCGGUGCCCUGUAUGGAAGUGCCCUGCUCGGUUGGAGGAUUAUACAGCACGGCCCAUGUUGUCCUCAGGCAUGGCAGAGGGGCUGCUGAACAGUGAAAACAGAUGUGAGCACACGCGUUAAGAACCAGUGAGUAAUUUACCACUUUUCUUUUCCUUUUUCCACCACAAUGGCAAUAUUCCAGAUAGAGACAGACUGCUCUGUCAACCUGAGUGCAGAGGGGAGAGGAGACGAAGGAGAGCCACAUGUGCAUGUAGUCUGAGACAUAAAGAAACUUUAUUGUAGGCCA